AUCUCAUUGAGACUUCUUAUUUAUAUAUAUAUAUAUAUGUGUGUGUGUGUGUGUGUGUGUGUGUAUAUAUACACACGUAAAUAU
rnacentral:miRNA from 1 species